rnacentral:rRNA from 1 species
AUUGAACGCUGGCGGCAGGCCUAACACAUGCGAGUCGAGCGGAUGAAGGGAGCUUGCUCCUGGAUUCAGCGGCGGACGGGGGAGUAAUGCCUAUGAGUCUGCCGGGUAGUGGUGGAUGACGUCCGGAAACGGGCGCUAAUACCGCAUGCGUCCUGAGGGAGAAAGUGGGUGGGCUUCGGACCGCACGCUAUCAUAUGAGCCUAGGUGGGAUUAGCUAGUUGGUGGGUUAAAGGCCUACCAAGGCGACGAUCCGUAACUGGUCUGAGAGGAUGAUCAGUCACACUGGAAGUGAGACACGGUCCAGACUCCUACGGGAGGCAGCAGUGGGGAAUAUUGGACAAUGGGCGAAAGCCUGACCCAGCCAUGCCGCGCGUGUGACGAAGGUCUUCGGAUUGUAAAGCACUCCAAGUUGGGAGGAAGGGCAGUAAGUUAAUACCUUGCUGUUUUGACGUUACCAACAGAAUAAGCACCGGCUAACUACGUG